rnacentral:rRNA from 1 species
AUUGUAGUAAUAAUAAUUAUGAAAGCAAAAAAUUAUGGCGGUAUUUUAAGCUUUUCAGAGGAAUUUGCUCUUUAAUGGAUAAAACACCAAAAUCUUACUUAGAUUUGUGAUUUCAAUUUGUAUACCACUAUAAAAACAAUUUAUAACUCUAAUUGUUUAAAUUUACAAAAUUAAAAUAUAUUAAGUCAAGGUGCAGUAAAAAUUUAAGGAUGAAGUGAAUUACAUUACUUUUUAGUGAAAUAAAUUUAUAAUAAUACUUAGGAUUUGAAAGUAAAAUUAAAAUAGGAUGUUAAUUUGAAUUAAGCUCUAAGAUAUGUAC